rnacentral:rRNA from 1 species
AACGGGUGAGUAACGCGUGGGUAACGUACCCUGAUCCUGGGAAUAACCCUCGGAAACGAGGGCUAAUACCGAAUGUGGCGAACGACCGGUUGGUCGCUCGCUAAAGGUGGCCUCUUCUAUGCUGCCGGGUUGGGAUCGGCCCGCGUCCCAUUAGCUAGUUGGUGAGGUAACGGCUCACCAAGGCCACGAUGGGUAGCCGGCCUGAGAGGGUGUACGGCCACACUGGCACUGAGACAAGGGCCAGUCCCCUAUGGGAGGCGCAGGCGGGAAUAGUUCACAAUGGGCGAAAGCCUGAUGACGCGACGCCGCGUGAGCGAAGAAGACCUUCGGGUUGUAAAGCUCUGUCAGGAGGGGAGAAGGCUCUACGGGUUAAUAGCCCGUGGAAUUGACGGUACCUCCAGAGGAAGCCCCGGCUAAAUACGUGCCAGCAGCCGCGGUAAUACGUAUGGGGCAAGCGUUGUCCGGAUUUACUGGGCGUAAAGGGCGCGUAGGCGGUUUGUUAAGUCGAAGGUGAAAUCCUCGGGCUCAACUCGAGAAUUGCCUUCGAUACUGGCAAACUAGAGUGGCGGAGAGGAAAGCGGAACUCUUGGUGUAACGGUGGAAUGUGUAGAUAUCAAGAGGAACACCGGUGGCGAAGGCGGCUUUCUGGACGCACACUGACGCUCAGGCGCGAAAGCGUGGGUAGCAAACAGGAUUAGAUACCCUGGUAGUCCACGCCAUAAUCGAUGGGUACUAGGUGUCGGGGGUAUCGACCCCUCUGGUGCCGCAGUUAACGCUCUAAGUACCCCGCCUGGGGAUUAUGGUCGCAAGGCUGAAACUCAAAGGAAUUGACGGGGCCCCGCACAAGCGGUGGAGCAUGUGGUUUAAUUCGACGCAACGCGAAGAACCUUUCGUGGGCUUGACAUGCUUGGGACAGCGCUGGAAACAGCGUCUCUCCUUCGGGAGCCCUUGCACAGGUGCUGCAUGGCUGUCGUCAGCUCGUGUCGUGAGAUGUUGGGUUAAGUCCCGCAACGAGCGCAACCCUCGUUACUAGUUGCCAUCAGUUCGGCUGGGCACUCUAGUGAGACUGCCGGUGAUAAUCCGGAGGAAGGUGAGGAUGAUGUCAAGUCAUCAUGGCCCUUACGCCCAGGGCUACACACGUGCUACAAUGGUCGGCACAAAGGGUCGCUAAGCUCGCGAGGUGGAGCUAAUCCCAAAAAGCCGG